rnacentral:rRNA from 1 species
GACAGAGGGUGCAAACGUUGCUCGGAAUCACUGGGCGUAAAGGGCGUGUAGGCGGGGAAGGAAAAGUCAGAUGUGAAAUCCCUGGGCUCAACCCAGGAACUGCAUUUGAAACUCCCUUUCUUGAGUGUCGGAGAGGAAAGCGGAAUUCCUGGUGUAGAGGUGAAAAUUCGUAGAUAUCAGGAGGAACACCGGUGGCGAAGGCGGCUUUCUGGACGACAACUGACGCUGAGACGCGAAAAGCGUGGGGGAGCAAAACAGG